rnacentral:tRNA from 1 species
AGGGUGCUAGCUCAAUGGAAGAGCGCUUGCCUUACAAGCAGGAGGUUGGUGGUUCGAUUCCUCCAUGCCCUA